rnacentral:pre_miRNA from 1 species
AGCUUUUUGCAUCGAUACAGAGAUUUCGUCAGACGUCAACUCAUUAGGGCUGAUCAGACUCCCAAGAUAAAUGAAGUU